ACAGAAAGAUACACAAGGGAUAAAAGAGGGGAAAGAGGAGGACCAAAGGCAGAGAACAUUUUUUAUUUAAAAAUUUUCCUUCACAUAAAGUAUGAAUUUUAUUUCACAGGGAGCUGAUUGGAUAAAUGGUGGAGAAGGAAAUCUGUUGCUCCUGAAGAUUGGAGUUUUGGAAGCUGCACUGCUGAUGCCAUGCCUCCAACUCAAACUGGAAAUUGGGACCUACCUGUGGGAUAAGUCAGCAGUCAGCUGAAAAGAGGAUCGUGAUUUGAAGCACAUCGAGCAGCAACACAAUGUUUCUGAUAUAUAACAUGAUACUAUUUGAUAUAUAAUGGAAAAUAUUUUAGAAUUCUAUCGACUGUGGAAAGCCAUUUCUGCUAUCAGCAUAGCUGGUAAGUACUAUAUUUGAAAACUGAUAGUUAUUUUAUGUGCUGUUAAAAUAUGUAGAAAAUCAGUUCAUUU
rnacentral:lncRNA from 1 species